rnacentral:rRNA from 1 species
AUGGCUGCCCAAGACGAGCAGCCGCUGCACAUCCUCUUCUUCCCGUUCCUAGCCCCGGGCCACCUCAUUCCCACCACCGACAUGGCCGUGCUCUUCGCCGCCCGCGGCGUCAGGUGCACCGUCCUCACCACGCCGGUCAACGCCGCGCUCAUCCGCUCAGCCGUCGACCGCGCCAAUGACGGCAGCUCCCCGGCGAUCGACAUCUCCGUGGUGCCUUUCCCUGACGUCGGGCUCCCGCCGGGCGUCGAGAACUUCGCGGCCCUCACGUCCCAGGACGACCGCGACAGGUUCUUCCGAGCGCUGCCGCUGUUCCGAGAGCCCUUCGGCCGGCUCCUGGUCGACAGCCGCCCCGACGCCGUGGUCUCCGACAGCUUCUUCCACUGGUCCGCGGACGCCGCCGCGGAGCACGGCGUCCCGCGAAUCGCGUUCCUCGGCAGCAGCGUGUUCGCGCGCUCCUGCAGCGACAGCAUGCUGCGCCACAACCCGCUGGCGGCCGCCCCCGGCGACCCCGACGCCCUCGUCUCCCUGCCGGGGCUGCCGCACCGCGUCGAGAUGAGGCGGAGCCAGAUGAUGGACCCGGCGAGGGCGUCGCACUGGGCCUUCUUCGAGAGCGUGAACGCCGCGGACCAGAGGAGCUUCGGCGAGGUGUUCAACAGCUUCCAGGAGCUGGAGCCGGACUACGCCGAGCACUACCGCGCGACGCUCGGCCGCCGCGCGUGGCUCGUCGGGCCCGUGGCGCUCGCCGGCAAGGACGACAUGGCCGGGCGAGGCGCCAGCGCGCCCUCGCCGGACACGGACGGCUGCCUCCGGUGGCUGGACGCGAAGCCGGCCGGCUCGGUGGUGUACGUGUCCUUCGGCACGCUGGCCAGCUUCUCGCCGGCGGAGCUGCGCCAGCUCGCCCGCGGCCUCGACCUCUCGGGCAUGAAUUUCCUGUGGGCGAUGGGCGCCGCAGACUCUUCGCCGGAGAAGUGGAUGCCGGAAGGCUUCGCCGAGCUGGUGGCAUCACGCGGCGGCCGCGGCUUCAUCGUGCGAGGCUGGGCGCCGCAGCUGCUCAUCCUGAACCACCCCGCCCUCGGCGGGUUCGUGACGCACUGCGGCUGGAACUCGGUGCUGGAGGCCGUGAGCGCCGGCGUGCCGAUGGUCACGUGGCCGCGGCACGCGGACCAGUUCAACAACGAGAUGCUCAUCGUGAAGCUGCUCGAGGUGGGUGUCAGCGUCGGCGCCAAGGACUACGGGUCGUCCCUCGAUGCCCACGAGGUGGUCGGCGGCGAGGUGAUCGCCGGAUCCAUCGGGAGGUUGAUGGAGAGCGACGCCAUACAGAAGAAGGCCAGGGACCUGGCUGUGAAGGCGAGGAGCGCCGUGGAGACGGGUGGGUCUUCGUACGACGCCGUUGGCCGGCUGAUGGACGAGUUGACGGCUCGCCGGAGUUCAGUCCAGGUUAAACAAGCUAGCUGA